rnacentral:siRNA from 1 species
UUUUUGUGGUUGCAGCUACUA